rnacentral:rRNA from 1 species
GACGAACGCUGGCGGCGUGCCUAAUACAUGCAAGUAGAACGCUGAAGAGAGGAGCUUGCUCUUCUUGGAUGAGUUGCGAACGGGUGAGUAACGCGUAGGUAACCUGCCUGGUAGCGGGGGAUAACUAUUGGAAACGAUAGCUAAUACCGCAUGAAAUGGAUUAUCGCAUGAUAAUUCAUUGAAAGGUGCAAAUGCAUCACUACCAGAUGGACCUGCGUUGUAUUAGCUAGUUGGUGGGGUAACGGCUCACCAAGGCGACGAUACAUAGCCGACCUGAGAGGGUGAUCGGCCACACUGGGACUGAGACACGGCCCAGACUCCUACGGGAGGCAGCAGUAGGGAAUCUUCGGCAAUGGACGGAAGUCUGACCGAGCAACGCCGCGUGAGUGAAGAAGGUUUUCGGAUCGUAAAGCUCUGUUGUAAGAGAAGAACGAGUGUGAGAGGGAAAGUUCACAC